UACGUAGGGGGCAAGCGUUAUCCGGAAUUAUUGGGCGUAAAGAGCGCGCAGGUGGUUGAUUAAGUCUGAUGUGAAAGCCCACGGCUUAACCGUGGAGGGUCAUUGGAAACUGGUCAACUUGAGUGCAGAAGAGGGAAGUGGAAUUCCAUGUGUAGCGGUGAAAUGCGUAGAGAUAUGGAGGAACACCAGUGGCGAAGGCGGCUUCCUGGUCUGUAACUGACACUGAGGCGCGAAAGCGUGGGGAGCAAACAGG
rnacentral:rRNA from 1 species